CACAGAGAAGCUUGCUUCUUGGGUGGCGAGUGGCGAACGGGUGAGUAAUAUAUCGGAACGUACCGAGUAAUGGGGGAUAACUAAUCGAAAGAUUAGCUAAUACCGCAUAUUCUCUGAGGAGGAAAGCAGGGGACCUUUGGGCCUUGCGUUAUUCGAGCGGCCGAUAUCUGAUUAGCUAGUUGGUGGGGUAAAGGCCUACCAAGGCGACGAUCAGUAGCGGGUCUGAGAGGAUGAUCCGCCACACUGGGACUGAGACACGGCCCAGACUCCUACGGGAGGCAGCAGUGGGGAAUUUUGGACAAUGGGCGCAAGCCUGAUCCAGCCAUGCCGCGUGUCUGAAGAAGGCCUUCGGGUUGUAAAGGACUUUUGUCAGGGAAGAAAAGGCUGUUGCUAAUAUCAAUAGCUGAUGACGGUACCUGAAGAAUAAGCACCGGCUAACUACGUGCCAGCAGCCGCGGUAAUACGUAGGGUGCGAGCGUUAAUCGGAAUUACUGGGCGUAAAGCGAGCGCAGACGGUUACUUAAGCAGGAUGUGAAAUCCCCGGGCUCAACCUGGGAACUGCGUUCUGAACUGAGUGACUAGAGUGUGUCAGAGGGAGGUAAAAUUCCACGUGUAGCAGUGAAAUGCGUAGAGAUGUGGAGGAAUACCGAUGGCGAAGGCAGCCUCCUGGGAUAACACUGACGUUCAUGCUCGAAAGCGUGGGUAGCAAACAGGAUUAGAUACCCUGGUAGUCCACGCCCUAAACGAUGUCAAUUAGCUGUUGGGCAACUUGAUUGCUUAGUAGC
rnacentral:rRNA from 1 species